UGCAGCCUUGGGAUAAAGCUGAUUUUGAGGCAGAUAGCAGAGAGAAGAAUAAAAUCAACUGUCCUGCUUCUAGAGUCUGCUCUACCUCCAAACUUGUAAUUAUUUUGUGAAAUAAUGCAUCUCCUAAUUUUUCAGGCCUGCUUGAUUUGGGUUUCCUGGUUCUCAGUGUUUAAAGUAUUUAAAAUGACACAUACUUCAAUUUAGCUCUACUGAUGUUUAGUAUUUUCAUUUAUCUCAGGCUCUCCUGUUGUCCCUUUUAUAAGGUCAAGUGUUGACAAACUAUUAAACUACAGGAAACACAAAAGCCUUAGAGAAAUGGGACUCAACAUGCAGGUUGGGACAACUCAGGGCCCCUCCACUGUGCACAGCAUUUGUCUGCUUUCAAGGUUCCCCACAGCAUCUGAAGCUUUACAUCCCUGGAGGUGACUGCCCAUAUGUUCACCUUUAUUACCAACCUGCAGUUUCCAGGCAUCUGUUAAUUACAAUUUUCAGUCUCAA
rnacentral:lncRNA from 1 species